rnacentral:rRNA from 1 species
UACGUAGGGUGCAAGCGUUGUCCGGAAUUAUUGGGCGUAAAGAGCUCGUAGGCGGUCUGUCGCGUCUGCUGUGAAAACUCAGGGCUUAACCCUGAGCUUGCAGUGGGUACGGGCAGACUAGAGUGCGGUAGGGGAGACUGGAAUUCCUGGUGUAGCGGUGAAAUGCGCAGAUAUCAGGAGGAACACCGGUGGCGAAGGCGGUUCUCUGGGCCGUAACUGACGCUGAGGAGCGAAAGCAUGGGGAGCGAACAGG